ACAACAGGGAUUGCCUCAGUAACGGCGAGUGAAGCGGCAAGAGCUCAACUUUGGAAUCGCUCCGGCGAGUUGUAGUCUGGAGGUGGCCACCACGAGGUGUUCUAGCAGCAGGCAAGUCCUUUGGAACAAGGCGCCAGCGAGGGUGACAGCCCCGUACCUGCUUUUGCUAGUGCUUCCUGUGGCCCACCGACGAGUCGAGUUGUUUGGGAAUGCAGCUCUAAGUGGGUGGUAAAUUCCAUCUAAGGCUAAAUAUUGGCGAGAGACCGAUAGCGAACAAGUACAGUGAUGGAAAGAUGAAAAGCACUUUGAAAAGAGAGUGAAACAGUACGUGAAAUUGUUGAAAGGGAAGGGCUUGCACCCAGACACGGUUUCGGCCGGGCCAGCAUCAAGUAGAACGGGGUUAAAAGACCUGGGGAAUGUAGCUACCUCUUGGUAGUGUUAUAGCCCUUGGGUGAUGACCCCUGUUUUGCUUGAGGACAGCGGUCUCUAGGAUGCUGGCGCAAUGGUUGCAAGCCACCCGUCUUGAA
rnacentral:rRNA from 1 species